AGAGUUUGAUCCUGGCUCAGGACGAACGCUGGCGGCGUGCUUAACACAUGCAAGUCGAGCGAUGAGAUCCCUUCGGGGAUGGAUUAGCGGCGAACGGGUGAGGAACACGUGAAGAAUCUGCCUUCAACUCUGGGAUAACACCGGGAAACCGGUGCUAAUACCGGAUAUGAGCCUUGAUCGCAUGAUCGGGGCUGGAAAGUUUUUCGGUUGAAGAUGACUUCGCGGCCUAUCAGCUAGUUGGUGAGGUAAUAGCUCACCAAGGCGACGACGGGUAGCCGGCCUGAGAGGGCGACCGGCCACACUGGGACUGAGACACGGCCCAGACUCCUACGGGAGGCAGCAGUGGGGAAUAUUGGGCAAUGGAGGAAACUCUGACCCAGCGACGCCGCGUGAGGGAUGAAGGCCUUCGGGUUGUAAACCUCUUUCAGCAGGGAAGAAGCGAAAGUGACGGUACCUGCAGAAGAAGCACCGGCUAACUAUGUGCCAGCAGCCGCGGUAAUACAUAGGGUGCAAGCGUUGUCCGGAAUUAUUGGGCGUAAAGAGCUCGUAGGUGGUUAGUUACGUCGGAUGUGAAAAUCUAGGGCUCAACCCUAGACCUGCAUCCGAUACGGGCUAGCUUGAGUUUGGUAGGGGAGACUGGAAUUCCUGGUGUAGCGGUGGAAUGCGCAGAUAUCAGAGGAACACCAAUGGCGAAAGCAGGUCUCUGGGCCAAUACUGACACUGAGGAGCGAAAGUGUGGGGAGCGAACAGGAUUAGAUACCCUGGUAGUCCACACAGUAAACGAUGGGCACUAGUGUGGGAACCUUCCACGNNUCUGCGACGCAGCUACGCAUUAAGUGCUCGCUGGGGAGUACGAUCGCAGAUUAAACUCAAGAAUUGACGGGNNCGCACAAGCAGCGGAGCAUGCGGCU
rnacentral:rRNA from 1 species